rnacentral:rRNA from 1 species
CGACCUCGGGAGCUUGCACAGGUGCUGCAUGGCUGUCGUCAGCUCGUGUCGUGAGAUGUUCGGUUAAGUCCGCUAACGAGCGCAACCCUCGCUGUGUGUUAUAUGUGUCACACGGGACUGCCGGUCUUAAGCCGGAGGAAGGUGGGGAUGAUGUCAAGUCAGCAUGGCCUUUAUAUCCUGGGCUACACACACGCUACAAUGGCCAACACAAUAGGUUGCUAAGCCGCGAGGUGGCGCCAAUCCAUAAAGUUGGUCUCAGUUCAGAUUGUAGGCUGCAACCCGCCUGCAUGAAGAUGGAGUUGCUAGUAACCGCAGGUCAGCUAUACUGCGGUGAAUACGUUCCCGGGGCUU